GACGAACCGUGCGAACGUUGUUCGGAAUCACUGGGCUUAAAGGGCGCGUAGGCGGGCAAGCAAGUCAGGGGUGAAAGCCCACGGCUCAACCGUGGAAGUGCCUUUGAUACUGCUGAUCUUGAGGGAGGUAGGGGCGUGCGGAACUUCCGGUGGAGCGGUGAAAUGCGUAGAUAUCGGAAGGAACACCGGUGGCGAAAGCGGCGCGCUGGAUCUCUUCUGACGCUGAGGCGCGAAAGCCAGGGGAGCAAACGGG
rnacentral:rRNA from 1 species